UUGCACGCUGGCGGAAUGCUUUACACCUGCAAGUCGCACGGCAGCACGGGGGCAGCCCUGGUGGCGAGUGGCGAACGGGUGAGUAAUACAUCGGAACGUGCCCGGUCGUGGGGGAUAACGUAGCGAAAGUUACGCUAAUACCGCAUACGAUCUGAGGAUGAAAGCGGGGGACCUUCGGGCCUCGCGCGAUCGGAGCGGCCGAUGUCAGAUUAGGUAGUUGGUGGGGUAAAGGCCUACCAAGCCGACGAUCUGUAGCUGGUCUGAGAGGACGACCAGCCACACUGGGACUGAGACACGGCCCAGACUCCUACGGGAGGCAGCAGUGGGGAAUUUUGGACAAUGGGCGCAAGCCUGAUCCAGCCAUUCCGCGUGCAGGACGAAGGCCUUCGGGUUGUAAACUGCUUUUGUACGGAACGAAAAGGCUCUGGCUAAUACCUGGGGCUCAUGACGGUACCGUAAGAAUAAGCACCGGCUAACUACGUG
rnacentral:rRNA from 1 species